CUCGUAGGCGGUUUGUCACGUCGGGAGUGAAAUCUUACAGCUUAACUGUGAACUUGCUUUCGAUACGGGCAGACUUGAGGCAUUCAGGGGAGAACGGAAUUCCUGGUGUAGCGGUGAAAUACGCAGAUAUCAGGAGGAACACCGGUGGCGAAGGCGGUUCUCUGGGAAUGUACUGACGCUGAGGAGCGAAAGUGUGGGGAGCGAACA
rnacentral:rRNA from 1 species